UUAUUGUAAUCGAGUUUUUAGAAACUUCAAAAACUUUUACUACAAUAUACGUUGUCCUUUUUAUCGAAAACGUUUACGCUUCAGUAAAACAGAAAAGAAUCUUUCAGGACAUGCCUGAAUCUUAUCUGCGGCCCCUUCCGGCCCAAAAAUCGUAAAGAUUAUCAUCUUUCAAACAUACAAAAAUACAUGUACAAUCCUCGAAAUAACUGCGAGACGUCGCAAAAGUUAAAAUUCGAGGAUAAUAUUAACAAAUUAUCCGAACGCGACAACCAAAAACUUACACCCCGUUCGUCGAUUGGCCCCUAGAACACGCUAGCCGUCUUAAACAAAUGCAAUUUGAUCACUCUUUCGAUCAUUAAAACGUCCAGCACAAGGACAAAAGCGCGCUACAACAAAAAUCCGAAAUUUUGGUUUAGCACUUCCAGUUAACUCUGAGAAGAUGCUCGAUUCGUACCAUACAAGUCAUAUAAGCCGAGAACCUAUCGCGGACUUUAAAUCGGUACAAGCCAGGAAGAAAUCGCAACAGGAAAAAC
rnacentral:lncRNA from 1 species